GGGGUUGUAGCUCAGAGGUAGAGCCCUUGCCUGGCAUGCACGAGGCACAGGGUUAGAUCCUCAGCACCA
rnacentral:tRNA from 1 species